rnacentral:rRNA from 1 species
GAUGAACGCUGGCGGCGUGCCUAAUACAUGCAAGUCGAGCGAACAGACGAGUAGCUUGCUCCUCUGACGUUAGCGGCGGACGGGUUAGUAACACGUGGAUAACCUACCUAUAAGACUGUGAUAACUUCGGGAAACCGGAGCUAAUACCGUAUAAUAUAUUGAACCGCAUGGUUCAAUAGUGAAAGACGGUUUUGCUGUCACUUAUAGAUGGAUCCGCGCCGCAUUAGCUAGUUGGUAAGGUAACGGCUUACCAAGGCAACGAUGCGUAGCCGACCUGAGAGGGUGAUCGGCCACACUGGAACUGAGACACGGUCCAGACUCCUACGGGAGGCAGCAGUAGGGAAUCUUCCGCAAUGGGCGAAAGCUUGACGGAGCAACGCCGCGUGAGGGAUGAAGGUCUUCGGAUCGUAAAACGCUGUUAUUAGGGAAGAACAAAUGUGUAAGUAAAUAGGCACGUCUUGACGGUACCUAAUCAGAAAGCCACGGCUAACUACGUG